rnacentral:rRNA from 1 species
AGCAGCCGCGGUAAUUCCAGCUCCAAUAGCGUAUAUUAAAGUUGUUGCAGUUAAAAAGCUCGUAGUUGAAUUUCGAGAUCAAUACGUCGGUCGUGCUUUCGGGUACGUACUGGCGUCAUUGGUUUCUCCUUUCUGACGAACCAUGAUGUCAUUAAUUUGGUGUUAUGGGGAGUUAGGACUGUUACUUUGAAAAAUUAGAGUGUUUAAAGCAGGCAUUAGCUUGAAUACAUUAGCAUGGAAUAAUGAAAUAGGACGUUCGAUCCUAUUUUGUUGGUUUCUAGGAUCAACGUAAUGAUUAAUAGGGAUAGUUGGGGGCAUUAGUAUUCAAUUGUCAGAGGUGAAAUUCUUGGAUUUAUUGAAGACUAACUACUGCGAAAGCAUUUGCCAAGGAUGUUUUCAUUAAUACAAGAACGAAAGUUAGGGGAUCGAAGACGAUCAGAUACCGUCGUAGUCUUAACCAUAAACUAUAGCCGACUAGGGAUCGGAUGAUGUUAAUUUU